CUAGAACCCUGCAACCUGACAGCAGACUGAGGAUCAGAGGUAAACAAGCUGCACCUGUUACCUCACCUGAACACACACUUUGGUUUCUGUCAGUAGAGGGUGAAGCCGGAGAGACAGACGGGUGAGGAGAGAAACCAGAAAUCCAGCCUCCCUGGGACGGUGACGCUCCCCAAGCUGCUGCUUCGGGAGACGAACCUCGGUCACGUCAGCUCCGUGACAUCGAAGCGACCGCGACGCCGCAGCAAACCGGCGGUGACGGACGCCUUUUUGUCUUCUGCAGUCAGGCCGGAGCGGCUGGCCCGCGGACGACUGUAAUUGCACCGACAGGUGACACAUAUGUGGAAACCAGAAGAUGAUGUGGGAGACUCCUUAAAUCACGUGACCUGCACCUCACAUGCCUCCUCAGAGUACCGAGGAGGAUAGUGGACCAGAUGACUCAGGCGACUCCCAGAAUUAUGUGGGUGACGUGAUCCCCUGAUCUGGAGAGAGACGGCUCAAGAGUUCAACAAUUAAACUGCUCUCCACCAGAUGUUGGAACCUGGUUCUGUGCUGCAGUUCAUCCCAACCGUGUCGGGUGGAGUUGAGGUCAAGUCUUCAUAUUGUUUGUGACUUUGUUGAAUGGAAUGCCUGAUGGUUUUUAAUAAGUGUUGACAGCAGCUAUUUUUUGGGUUUUUUUGCAGAAAAAACAGGCAGCAAAGAAAAUCAAUGGCCCAAAGCCACAAAAAGAAACCGGUAUGAAGGCCCUUACACAUCAGGGGGCGUUUUAUUUGUGCAAUUUAUUCAUUUAAACUUUUUGUCAUGAGUACUUUCACACGGAACGUGAAUAUUACGCGGCACAAAAGCAAAACAUUUUUAGUAGCCAGGUCGAUUUUUUUUUUAGAAUUUAUUUUUUGGCAUCAACCAACCACGUUGUGCAGAGCGAGUCCAGUUGCGUCUUCAUUAUAAAACACUGAGGCUCUGUGGUCCGAAUCAAGACGUCAAACUUUAUUGCUCCUUUCAACCUUGACAGUCAGCUCACAGUUCUUACCUUUCACAAUAAAAGCCCUCGAUAUAUAGUAUUCGCAGCCGAGUAUUUCACAUGUUUGUGUGGUUUAUUUGUGUGAUAAACUUAGAUGAUAAACUUUUUUUUGU